rnacentral:misc_RNA from 1 species
UUUCCGUAGGUGAACCUGCGGAAGGAUCAUUAUUGUAUAAUCGAGGAGCGAGGGCUGUCGCUGACACGAAAGAUCGUGCACGCACGAGUGCCCUAACAUAAAUACAUUUAAACCCUAAGUUGACCACCAAGUGGAUCCCCCUUUGACUUGUUCGGAGCGGGGCUUAUGGUUCCACACAAGCUUUGGAUGCAGGGAAGAAGGUAGUGUAUGUUUCUGCGAUCCCGCAAUUAAUUACGCUUUCAAAAACGGAUCUCUUGGCUCUCGCAUCGAAGAAGAACC